rnacentral:snRNA from 1 species
AGUUUUUCUCUUUAAAAGUAACUUUUUGAUAAAAUUGGAACGAUACAAAGAAGAUUAACAUGGCCUCUGAGCAAGGAUGACAUGCACAAAACGAGAAAUGGUCCAAAUUUUU